UUAAGCCUAGAACAUACGUUAAGGGCUCUUAAUUGAACCUACACUUUUACAACGGGAAUCCGAGGUUCGGCAGCGGAUGUCAUGCCUCCAUUGUGUGGACUACAGAAUCUGCUGACAGGGUACCCACCUAUCUUAUUGAUAGGCGUCAAUUAAGCUCUGACGGUGUUCCGGGUAUUUU
rnacentral:other from 1 species